ACAGGCUGUCGUGAUUGGCCGAACGCUCGCCGAGUCCCAGCCGUGCCCACGGGCUCCACACGCCGCCCUGCACUCGCCUCUACCGCGCGCCACCAUGCUCGUCGUGUGUCUGCUGCUGCGCGUCCUCCUCGUGGCCGACGCGUCGGCAGCGGUCGUUCUGCAGCAGAGAACCUUGUCGGCGACGAAAGGCAAAGGCCGGACGGCUCGGGUCACUUGUCACACUUCAGGCUUGGACAGCAGCUUCGCCGAUGACGUGUUCCACUGGUAUCAGCAACGAGACGGAGGAGAGCCCAGGUGGAUGCUCUUGGUGGGCAAAGGCGACUCCGCGGCCACCGAUGACGCCUUCAAGAAGAGAUUCACGUCUGAGAAGAACAACGAAGCGAAAGCGUGCAGCCUCCUCAUAAACAACCUGGAGGAAGACGACUCGGCCACCUACUACUGCGCCAGGGUCGGCCUUCGCUCUUACGCUGGACCAGAAGCCGCUUACGAUGACCAGGAGCAGAGGCAGGACCGCCCGCCUAACGUGCGCUCUGGACGUGGACAUCAGCGGCGCGACGGUCCACUGGUACCUGCACACCGACGGCGAGGCUCCGACUCACCUGCUCUACGUGGGCAGCACCGGAGAAGCGCAGUACAGCGAGGACGAAUAUAAAGCGAAGUACCGGGCAGAGAAAACGCCGCUCGAAAGAAAAUGCAGCCUUCAAAUGUACAACGUGGACGAUGGAGACUCGGCGCUC